AGAGUUUGAUCAUGGCUCAGAACGAACGCUGGCGGCAGGCCUAACACAUGCAAGUCGAGCGCCCCGCAAGGGGAGCGGCGGACGGGUGAGUAACGCGUGGGAAUUUUCCUCAAGGUAGGGAACAACUCAGGGAAACUUGGGCUAAUACCCUGUGAUGCAGAGAUGCCAAAGAUUUAUCGCCUUGGGAUAAGCCCGCGUCAGAUUAGGUAGUUGGUGGGGUAACGGCCUACCAAGCCUGCGAUCUGUAGCUGGUCUGAGAGGACGAUCAGCCACAUUGGGACUGAGACACGGCCCAAACUCCUACGGGAGGCAGCAGUGGGGAAUCUUGCGCAAUGGGCGAAAGCCUGACGCAGCCAUGCCGCGUGAAUGAUGAAGGUCUUAGGAUUGUAAAGUUCUUUCGCCUGUGACGAUGAUGACGGUAACAGGAGAAGAAGCCCCGGCUAACUUCGUGCCAGCAGCCGCGGUAAUACGAAGGGGGCUAGCGUUGUUCGGAAUUACUGGGCGUAAAGCGCGCGUAGGCGGUUUUGCAAGCCAGAGGUGAAAUGCCUGAGCUCAACUUAGGAAUUGCCUUUGGGACUGUGAGGCUUUGAGGACGGAAGAGGUGAGUGGAAUUCCCAGUGUAGAGGUGAAAUUCGUAGAUAUUGGGAAGAACACCGGUGGCGAAGGCGGCUCACUGGUCCGUUUCUGACGCUAAAGCGCGAAAGCGUGGGGAUCAAACAGGAUUAGAUACCCUGGUAGUCCACGCUGUAAACGAUGAGUGCUAGGCGUCGGCAGGCUUGCCUGUCGGUGCCGCAGCUAAC
rnacentral:rRNA from 1 species